rnacentral:rRNA from 1 species
UACGAGGGGGCAAAUGUUGUUCGGAAUCACUGGGCGUAAAGGGAGCGUAGGCGGGUUCUUAAGUUAGGUGUUUAAUCCCGGGGCCCAACCCCGGACCGGCACUUAAAACUGGGAAUCUUGAAUAGUGGAGAGGUCAGUGGAAUUGGGGGUGUAGCGGUGGAAUGGCGUAGAGAUCCCCAAGAACACCAGUGCGAAGGCGGCGACUGGACACAUAUUGACGCUGAGGC